AUACGGAGGGUGCAAGCGUUAUCCGGAAUCAUUGGGUUUAAAGGGUCCGUAGGCGGACUAUUAAGUCAGAGGUGAAAGCCCAUCGCUCAACGAUGGAACUGCCUUUGAUACUGGUUGACUUGAGUUAUACGGAAGUAGAUAGAAUAAGUAGUGUAGCGGUGAAAUGCAUAGAUAUUACUUAGAAUACCGAUUGCGAAGGCAGUCUACUACGUAUAUACUGACGCUGAGGGACGAAAGCGUGGGGAGCGAACAGGAUUAGAAACCCUAGUAGUCC
rnacentral:rRNA from 1 species